rnacentral:misc_RNA from 1 species
AUUCAGAUUUUACUAGUGAUAUCAAGACUUACCACUAUAAAAACAAACUCAUAUAGUUCAAUUAUAAAGGUAUACAGGAUUAUAAGGUGAAGUUGUGAGUGCAAAAGUCUGUUUUAAUAGAUGCUCAAUGCUCAUUACCACUCAUCGCAAAUGGCAGAGCUAGAAUUCAUUUGGAGGGACAGAGGUGGGUACGUCUUAUUAAUUAUGAAAUAAACUUAAAAUUAACUGAAUGUUAUUUAAAAUGAAUUUAAUGCAGUCCAUAUUAAAUGAGAUAAAAAAAAAAAGUAACAUCAACACUAACAAAAGGAAAAUCAAAGAAGCUAAUUAAAAAGGGAAAAUUCGCAAAUAAAUAAACAAAGUAUUUUACCACAAAUUUGAAAUAAUUUUACCUAAUUUUAUCAUCUCUUUCACAUUUUGGAAUAUAGAAUCAGGCCAUUUUACCCGUGUUGAAAAUAAAUAUGUAACAAAGUUGUGUAAAGGUUUAAUGAUAGUAUCAGCGACUAUCGAAGAGACAAAAUUAAAAUGGGAAAGAAUUUGGUUGCAAUGUUCAACAAGAGAUUCAUUACCCGUUAUAUUGAGCUGCAUUUCUUUCCUUUGAAAAGUUCAAAAGUAAAAUUUUUGCCUUGGGAUGAGAGCCUAUGAGGUCAAAAGGAAGGAGAAAAGGGUAUAUGUAUAUUGGGAUAGGCUACAUGGAUCAUUUUUUGCCAUUCAAAUAUGUUUGAGAUCAGUUCUACAUUAAUAUUCAAUGAUUGUAAAUUUUUUGAAACUACUUUGCUCCACAUCAUUUUAAAUCUCUCCCUUUUCCUUCUCACUUCUUCCACGACUAAUUUAUCCCAAUUCCAUACAAGAGCAUUCGAUUUGCUACAUUGGAUAUGAUCAAACCAUUUCAAACGACACUCUCUCAUCUUAUUCCCAAUGUGUGCUACUUGCACCCUUUGACAGAUAUGGUCAUUUCUAAUCUUAUCCAUUAUCGUAGUCGCAAGGGUUUUUGCGGUCGCCGAACGAUUCUCACCGAAGCGAAAAAAGUGAGGAGUCGAUACUUUAAUUUUAAGGGGAAUUAAAGGAAACCAUUUGUAAAAAUAAUAUUUAUAAAAACCACUUCUAAAACAGAGAUUCUAGGCUCGGGGUCCGUGUAUGUGUGGGAAAGGUGUUAAGCACCCUACCUCGUCCCUCAAUGAGGGCAAGCGGAUUCAACGAUGUACUCUUUAUAAUUUAAGAUCGAUAAUUUUGGGGUUAGAAGUAUGAUGUUGGUCCUUGUUAUUAAUAAAAUGAACGUCUGAUAUUUCACUAUUUUGGGUUACCUAAGAACACGAGUACAUGGGAUGACCCUACAGUGAAUUGAUAUUGUGUUUGUUUAAUUUGUUAUGUCUUUAUUAAGUUUCUCCCUCCACGAAUUAGGACUCUAAUUCCCAAGAGGUGUUAUUCAGUCCCUAAAGAUUCAUAACGGGUGAGGAGAACUCUCAGCUGAUGCAUUAUAUACUUUAUCAUUGGCAUUCAAAUAACUGAGGGUGUAGUGUAUGUAAUGGAUAUACAAGAACCGAUAUGAGCAUAGAUUUUCAUUCCUCUUAAUUAGGACUCUAAUUCAAAAGGGAUGUAUUAAUUAAAACCUAGAAAAUUCUCUUCAUUAAUGAGGACUCUCAGUUAAUAGAGGGAUAUCUCAUCAUCGGCAUAAUUAUCCAUAAAAUCUUUACUUAUAUCGUUUCCUAUUAAAUUGUUUAAUAUUUUUUUUAAUAAUGGUAUUUUCUUUGACUAAGCCAAACUGAAACGAGGACUCUCCCUUAAUAAUAUAAGUAUGAGCACCUUGAGGAGGACUCUCUAUCGAGCCUCAAUAUAAGAUUCGGGAUUCUUGGAAUGACUUUCCCGCGAACCCAUUAUUAGAACAUGUGAUAAAUUUUAUAAAAAUGCAGGAGCUAACAAGGGAAGGACUCUCUCCCGAUCUCCCCUAAUUUGAUACGAAACGAUUUUAUUAGAAUUUUAGACUAAGGGGAUUCAGGAAAGGACUCUCCAUCGAUCUCUCUGAUUUAAUGUCAAAGAAAAUUGUUAAAGACACGGGAAGUUCCAGGAAAGGACUCUCUCCCAAUCUCCCUUAAUUUAGAAAGUGAGUUAAAAAGUCACGGAUGUUGAGCCGAACUCUUCGUCGACCUUCUUCUAGAGAACCGAAGUAGUAUACUGCACGUGUAAUUUCUUGAUCCCUUUAUUACCCGAACUUUCUUGAUUUCCGAUCUCAUAACUUGUUGUUCAAGUUCGCCUCGGUUUCUAGUCUCGUAAUUUACCUGUCCGAGCUAAUCUCGGUUUCUGAUUUCAUACCUUAUCUGUCCGAGCUAGUCCAGGAUUCCGACUUCACAACUCAUCCGAACCUUUUACAUCAAUCCGGAAUACAUCUAUUUUCCUAAUUAUUUUUCCUUUAUUCAGAUCGGGAAUCUCCAUAUCGUCACUUCUAUCCGUACUCCUUAUGGUAUUUACGAAAUGUCAGUGACCCGAACUUUCAUUCUCAUACGAAAUAAAAUAAAAAUUAAGAAUAAAGCAAUGAUAAAAAUAAAACUCACGAAUGUCACGAUAGAAAGCCAAAGACAAUAUUUGUGAGAUAUGUCAAACUUGAUGCAACCCUAUUCUGAAAAUUCGGUGUGACAUGAUACCUUAAAAAUACUUACGUCAUGAACACAGGCUAGUGAUACUUAGAGUGAUAAGUUAAACGCUUACCUGUGGAGAGUUGAAAUAAUGGAGAAGCCAAUACUGAUGCCCUGCAAACCUGAAGCUGCUAAAGCUGAGACGACAAAGUGACUUUGUGCUGCCGAAGGUGAUGAAAGUGAGAUCUUGAUGACGAACUGAGUUUAGACUUUCAAAAUGGUGCACUAUUGCUAAGGAUAUGGAUUGCAAGACCUGUAACUCUAGUGAUAAGAUCCUUUAGAAAACUUGUUUUUAAAGUCUCCAGAAACCUUAAGAGCUUCAGAAUGAAAGGCAAUAAAGCUACAGCGAAAGUCAGAGAUUUCCCUCGAUAAAAACCCCUCCUUUCUUCUUUUAUACAGUAUUGCAUGCAGAUAUUUAUAGAAAAUGGAUACUCAAAAUAGAGGGUCAGGAUUUCAGCAAGAAGAGAUGCCUCGUCCGGAUUUUAAAGGACAAAAUCCGAUGUCUUAGAAUUAAAGAGAAUCAAAAUUGAAGAUUAUGAUUUAGUUCAGAAUUUCUGUCUUUUCAUUCUUUUAUCCAACGGUUAGGAGUCCUACCUUACAUAAUAGAUCCAAGGGCUGAGAAUAAAAUGUGCCAAAUCGGUUAUUCGCUUUUAAUCUGAAGGUCUCAAAUUUGUCCUUACAAGUGUGAUCAACAGUGUGCAUUGAGAUGUACGAGGAUGCUUUAACCGUUUGAGAUCCGAUGGUAAGGAGUUCGUCCUUACAAAUGGGAUGGAUGGUGGGGAUUAGAUUGUACCCCAAAUGCUUUAACCAAUUUCGGAUCUGACGGUAGGGGAAUUAGUCUUAUGGAUUAAGGGUCAUGAUUGAAAACGAUUCGAUUCCCCAAGCCUUCCGAUCUCUUUUGGUUAUUCCCUGAUCCAUCCGAUCUCUCAUCAUGGCCGUCGGUUCUGAGACCUCUUAUUCCGAUCUCUUAAUCUAACUCUUUCCGCGUCUGAUCUCUUCUCGUCUCUUCUUUAUAUCCGACCAGUACCAUUGAACUCUUAAUAAGGAAGCAUUAAAUUCUUCAAUUACCAAUGAGCCGCUUCGAGUUCUGCAUGCAUUAAAUGCCAAGGCCCUAUAUAUAUGCGAGAGAGAAUUCCGUCAUUUUCACACUCACACUCUUCCUUCCCUAGUGAAUUUUCAAUGUGCUAUUUUUCUGAUCCUUACUUUCCCAGCGAGAAUUCUCAUUAUGACCACUACCUCGAUCUUUUUCCGAUAGCUUUCUUUGCCCAUUGCCUGAAAAUGGACAAUACCGGCGAUCAGAUAACAACGAGAACAUCACCUAAUGACGACGAGAAAACCGGACUAAUUGACCGAUUAGAGUCCAAAAUGACUACCGAGCCGAUCUCUAAUC